rnacentral:lncRNA from 10 species
CUGGAUCUCAAAAGACUUUAUUGGGGGUGGAAUGGGAGGGGGUGACAUGCACAGGAUGAGAAAAUUCAUUCCAUCCAGGACAACGUAGGGACUCCAUGGAAAAGGGCCUGUUUUCCAUCCCGGGUCUUCAAAGGAAAAGCUCUCCAGCCAGGCAGGGAGUGGGCCCCAGCUGCAGGGCAAGGUCUGAGGGAGGAGAUUUUACUAUCUCUGGAGACAAAAGGACUUUUGUGUGCUAUGAUCCCUGGGUGGGAUGGUGGGGGGAGAGGGGAAAUGGUUUAUUGGAAUGAGAGUAAGAUUAUAUGGGAGAAAAAGAAUCAGAGAUGCAGAGACCAAAACAAAAACAGGCAGAGAUAGAACGGACAGUAGACAAAAGAGAGAGAGACCGAGGCAGAGAUAGAGAAAAAAAGGCCCAGAGAGAGUCCCCUCAGGCCAACUUUGGUUUUCACUUCUCAGUUCUGAGAGCCGAGGAAGCAGGAAGGAGCUGUGAGAGACUGAGCUCUAACCUUGGCCAUCAAAGACAAGCUGUGCAGCUCUGGUUUUUUGAGGGCAGGACAUGGAGGGUCAGGCCCAGCUGGAGGCGCACCAAAGCCCAGAGAAAAUUCAGAACCACGUGAACUUGUUGGAUUUCAGCCCCUUGAAGCACAUGUUGCUAUUGCAGCUGCCUUGAUAACUGGGGGGACAGGAGGAGCACGGCUUUCCCAUCUUGUACGGGGACUCGCCAAUCCAGUUGCCCCUGGAAGAGAAAAGGACCCAGGGAGACAGAGGAGCAUUAGGCUACUAAUGACUUCAAGAACAUCAGAAUAAUACAAUAGAAAGAAUUUGGAAUUUGGAAUCAAAAGACUGAUUCUUCUGAACCAGCUCUACUACUUGUUGGCUUUGUGACAUUUGGUAAAUUACUCAACCUGCCUGAGCCUCAAUUUCUUAAUUUGUAAAAAGAAUGUCCUCCUAGGGUUCCCCCCUUUUUCCUUCUUUCUUUCAUCUCUUCAAUGAGAUAGUGUGAAAGUAGUUUGUAAAUGAUUAAAGGCUAUGUGACAGUAAAAUGUGGUUAUUAUAUAAUUUUGGAAUUCUAGGGCAGGCACGGUGGGUGGCUCACACCUAUAAUCCCAGCACUUUGGGAGUCCAAGUAGGGAGAUUGCUUGAGGCCAGGAGUUCAAGACCAGCCUAGGCAACAUAAUGAGCCCCCCAUCUCUACAAAAAUGUUAAAAAUUAGCCAGGUGUAAUGGUGCAUGCCUGUACUCCCAGCUACUCAGGAGGGUGAGGCGGGAGGAUUGCUUGAACCCAGGAGUUGGAGGCUGCAGUGAGCUAUGAUCUGGCUAUUGCACUCCAGCCUGGGCGACAGAGCAAGACCUCGUCCCCCCCCAAAAAAAAAAGAAAAAAGAAAAAAAGAAAUUCUAAAUAUCAUGUUUACUUAGAAUUUGUUCUUGUUUUGUUUUUGUUGUUGUUGUUGUUUGAGACGGAGUCUUGCUCUGUUGCCCAGGCUGGAAUGCAGUGGUGUGAUCUCAGCUCGCUGCAACCUCCACUUCUGAGGCUCAAGCGAUUCUCCUGCCUCAGCCUCCCAAGUAGCUGGGAUUACAGGCACGCGCCACCAUGCCCAGCUAAUUUUGGUAUUUUUGGUAGACACGAGGUUUUGCCAUGUUGGCCAGGCUGGUCUCAAACUCCUAACCUCAGGUGAUUCACUCGCCUCAGCCCCCCAAAGUGCUGGGAUUGCAGGUGUAAGACACUGCUCCUGGCCUGUUCUUGUUUUUCUAUGAGAAUCUGGAACGUCUGCAAGUUUCAUUACGCUUGCUCCCUGUUUCCAAGAGGCUUGUAUGCAGGCAUCUCCUAAACUCUCCCACCCAGCAAACUGGAGAAGCUAAGCACACUCAUUCCUCCUUCCUUUUCUUUGGGAUCUGCCUGCCUGCAGGGAGCAUGUGUUCUUGGCUGUAUUUUUCUUGUCGUAAGCUUAGAGGGCUGGCACUGUACUUCUAAGAAGGGGCCUUUGGCUAUCCAGUGUUACCUGCCACUGGAUGUGUAGGUCUAAUUCAGUAGUGAGAUAUUUGUAAGCCUAGUUGGCUGGUGUAUUGGCAGAUGUAAGCCAC